rnacentral:rRNA from 1 species
GAGGGAAACAACCCAGACCGCCAGCUAAGGUCCCAAAGUCAUGGUUAAGUGGGAAACGAUGUGGGAAGGCACAGACAGCCAGGAUGUUGGCUUAGAAGCAGCCAUCAUUUAAAGAAAGCGUAAUAGCUCACUGGUCGAGUCGGCCUGCGCGGAAGAUGUAACGGGGCUAAACCAUGCACCGAAGCUGCGGCAGCGACACUAUGUGUUGUUGGGUAGGGGAGCGUUCUGUAAGCCUGCGAAGGUGACCUGUGAGGGUUGCUGGAGGUAUCAGAAGUGCGAAUGCUGACAUAAGUAACGAUAAAGCGGGUGAAAAGCCCGCUCGCCGGAAGACCAAGGGUUCCUGUCCAACGUUAAUCGGGGCAGGGUGAGUCGACCCCUAAGGCGAGGCCGAAAGGCGUAGUCGAUGGGAAACAGGUUAAUAUUCCUGUACUUGGUGUUACUGCGAAGGGGGGACGGAGAAGGCUAUGUUAGCCGGGCGACGGUUGUCCCG